UGGGGAAUUUUGGACAAUGGGCGCAAGCCUGAUCCAGCCAUUCCGCGUGAGUGAAGAAGGCCUUCGGGUUGUAAAGCUCUUUCGGCAGGAACGAAACGGUGGGGGCUAAUACCCCCUGCUAAUGACGGUACCUGAAGAAGAAGCACCGGCUAACUACGUGCCAGCAGCCGCGGUAAUACGUAGGGUGCGAGCGUUAAUCGGAAUUACUGGGCGUAAAGCGUGCGCAGGCGGUUAUGUAAGACAGAUGUGAAAUCCCCGGGCUUAACCUGGGAACUGCGUUUGUGACUGCAUAACUCGAGUGUGGCAGAGGGGGGUGGAAUUCCACGUGUAGCAGUGAAAUGCGUAGAGAUGUGGAGGAACACCGAUGGCGAAGGCAGCCCCCUGGGUCAACACUGACGCUCAUGCACGAAAGCGUGGGUAGCAAACAGG
rnacentral:rRNA from 1 species